rnacentral:piRNA from 1 species
AGAGGCUUCAAGGCCCUUCUCACCAUGGUA